UCCCUCCCUCCGCGGCCCCGCCUUCCCGCCCUCCCUCCGCCCAUCUCCCGCCGCGGAGCCGCCGCCGUCAGCCGCGCCGUCAUGUCGGCCCCCGCCGGGUCCCCUCACCCGGCUGCCGGUGCCCGGAUGCCGCCCAAGCUCGGCGGAGCAGCCUCUGGCCUGGCGCCGCCGCAGCAGAACGGUCCAGCACCGAGUCAAAUGCAAGUUCCUUCUGGGUAUGGGUUGCCUCAUCAAAACUAUAUGGCCCCCUCAGGACAUUACUCUCAAGGACCGGGGAAAAUGACCUCCUUGCCAUUGGAUAACCCGUGUGAUAGUUACUAUUCUCGUCCGUAUACAGUACCAACACAAAAUGUGGGGACUCCCAGCUCAGCAAGCCAACCAGGAGCACAGCAGAUGUAUGGUAGAGGUCCUCCUGCCCCUCACAUCGGGGGGUCCACUCCAGGAUCUUUCCAAGGAGCUCCAGCAUCAGCAUCCCAUUCGUAUCCGAGUGCCUCCCAGCCUUACUCCUCUUUCGGGAAUCGCUACAGUAGUCCUGCCCCGUAUUCUGCCAGCUCUUCUGCUGCUUCUCAGGGAUACCCCUCUACGUGUAGUCAUUAUCCGAUCUCAACUGUGUCCAAUGUUGUGUAUCCUAAUGUUUCCUACCCCUCGCUGCCUGCCAGUGAGCCAUAUGGGCAAAUGUUUACCUCACAGAGUGCUCCGUCUGCCAGGCCAGUUAAAGAUUCCUACUCUGGCCCAAGCACAGCUAUUACCUAUCCACCACUUAAAGAUUCCUAUUCUGGCCCAAGCACAGCUAUUACCUAUCCACCAGUUAAAGAUUCCUACUCUGGCUCAAGCACAGCUAUUACCUAUCCAUCACGACCUCCACCUCCACCUUCACAGCAGCACCACCAGCCACAGAGUCAUUCAGGAUACAGUUCUGGACCGUGGUCAGCUCCUGGCCUUCCACCCACCCAAGACAAUCUCAUCCGAAACCAAAUGGGACCCCUGGCUCCAGCCAACAACCACCCAACAAAUAAUGAGCCCCCCAAGUCCAGCUCCAUAGUGUCCACAGUCUUGCCAGGACCCUCAUCAGCAAGAAUGCCUCCUGCUCCAAGUCACCCAGUGGGGCCCAUGCCCUCAGCUCCACCACCUCCGGAGCCAAUCCAGACCAAAGGCAUGCAGUAUGGUGACUAUGUUAAUAAUCAAGCUAGCUCCACACCAACUCCCUUGUCAUCAGCUUCCGAUGAUGAGGAAGAGGAGGAUGAGGAUGAGGAAGCAGGUGUGGACAGCUCUUCCACCACAAGCAGUGCCUCGCCCUUGCCCAACAGCUACGACGCCCUAGAAGGAGGCAGCUACCCAGAUAUGCAUUCUUCUUCAGCAAGUAGCCCUGUUCCUGAUCGUGCCCCGGAACCUAACCCCACCCUCGCCCAGGCUCUGUCUGCAGCCCCUGCUCCCACAACUCCUCACCCCACAAAGGUAGCAAAGCCUUUCGGCUAUGGCUACCCGACUCUUCAGCCUGCUUAUCAGAAUGCAGCAGCACCUCCAAGCUCUGGUGUACAUCCCAGUGGCCCGGCGUAUUCUGGAUAUCCUCAGCACUACCCGGGUGUGAACCAGCUGUCCUCGGCUCUAGGAGGACUGAGUCUGCAGAGUUCUCCACAGCCAGAAAGCCUCAGACCUGUGAACCUCACCCAGGAGAAGAAUAUCUUACCUGCGACUCCUGUUUGGGCUCCUGUACCUAACCUGAGUGCGGAGCUCAGCAAGUUAAACUGUAGCCCAGAUUCCUUCCGAUGUACCUUGACAAGCAUCCCACAGACACAGGCUUUACUGAAUAAAGCCAAGCUUCCCUUAGGACUGUUGUUACAUCCCUUCAGAGACCUGACGCAAUUGCCGGUGAUAACAUCGAACACCAUUGUGAGGUGCCGAUCGUGCCGGACGUACAUCAACCCCUUCGUGUCCUUCAUUGAUCAGCGCAGGUGGAAGUGCAACCUCUGCUACAGGGUCAACGAUGUUCCUGAAGAGUUUCUGUAUAACCCCCUGACUCGGUCGUAUGGAGAGCCUCACAAACGGCCGGAAGUUCAGAAUUCGACUGUGGAGUUCAUCGCUUCCUCGGACUACAUGCUUCGUCCUCCUCAGCCUGCAGUCUACUUGUUUGUUUUAGAUGUGUCCCAUAACGCAGUGGAAGCUGGGUAUUUGUCAGUUUUGUGCCAGUCGUUAUUAGAAAACUUAGACAAGCUCCCUGGAGAUUCACGAACAAGAAUAGGAUUCAUGACUUUUGACAGCACCAUUCAUUUCUACAAUUUACAAGAAGGAUUAUCACAGCCUCAGAUGUUGAUUGUAUCUGAUAUAGACGAUGUUUUUCUGCCCACACCGGAUAGUUUGCUUGUGAAUCUGUAUGAAAGUAAAGAGCUUAUAAAAGACUUACUGAACGCAUUACCAAGUAUGUUCAUCAAUACCAGAGAGACGCACAGUGCCCUCGGUCCUGCCCUUCAGGCUGCCUUCAAACUAAUGUCCCCCACGGGUGGCCGCGUGUCUGUGUUUCAGACGCAGUUACCUUCCCUGGGGGCAGGACUUCUGCAGUCCAGAGAAGAUCCGAAUCAGAGGUCGAGUACCAAGGUGGUGCACCAUCUUGGGCCUGCCACUGAUUUCUAUAAGAAACUUGCUUUGGAUUGCUCGGGACAGCAGACUGCAGUGGAUCUCUUCCUUCUCAGUUCCCAGUAUUCUGACCUUGCUUCUUUGGCGUGCAUGUCCAAGUACUCUGCAGGGUGCAUAUUCUACUAUCCAUCUUUCCACUCUACUCACAAUCCUUCGCAAGCAGAAAAGUUACAAAAAGACCUAAAACGGUACCUCACUAGGAAAAUUGGAUUUGAAGCUGUUAUGAGAAUAAGAUGUACUAAAGGUCUUUCGAUGCACACUUUCCACGGAAACUUCUUUGUCCGCUCCACCGACCUACUGUCUCUUGCCAACAUCAAUCCUGACGCUGGGUUUGCAGUACAGCUGUCAAUUGAAGAGAGUCUGACGGACACUUCCUUAGUGUGCUUUCAGACAGCCCUGCUCUACACAUCCAGCAAAGGUGAGCGGAGAAUCAGAGUGCAUACACUCUGCUUGCCGGUGGUAAGUUCUCUCGCCGAUGUGUACGCAGGAGUGGAUGUGCAAGCUGCCAUCUGCCUUCUGGCCAACAUGGCUGUGGAUCGCUCGGUGUCAUCAAGCUUGUCGGAUGCCAGGGAUGCCUUGGUGAAUGCUGUGGUGGACCCCCUGUCCGCCUAUAGCUCGGCGGUGUCGAGUGUGCCACGCUCCACCCUGACAGCACCAAGCUCACUCAAGCUGCUCCCGCUCUAUGUUUUGGCGCUUCUCAAACAGAAAGCAUUUAGAACAGGUACAAGCACACGCCUGGAUGAUCGUGUGUAUGCCAUGUGCCAGAUGAAGUCUCAGCCACUUGUUCAUCUAAUGAAAAUGAUUCAUCCCAACUUAUAUAGGAUAGACAGACUGACAGAUGAGGGCGCCAUCCAUGUUAAUGACAGGGUCGUGCCUCAGCCGUCGCUUCAGAAACUGUCUGCGGAGAAGCUGACCAGAGAGGGAGCUUUCCUCCUGGACUGUGGCUCGGUUUUUUACAUUUGGAUUGGCAAAGGCUGUGACAAUAACUUUAUAGAGAAUGUGCUUGGGUACCCUGAUUUUGCAGCAAUACCACCAAAAAUGACACAUCUUCCAGAGCUAGACACGCUUUCAUCCGAGAGAACUAGAUCCUUUAUAACCUGGCUUAGAGACAGCCGACCACUAAGCCCUGUCCUUCACCUGGUAAAAGAUGAGAGUCCCGCCAAAACAGACUUCUUCCAGCAUUUGAUUGAAGACCGCAUGGAGGCUGCAUUCUCUUACUACGAGUUUCUGAUUCACAUUCAGCAGCAGAUUUGUAAGUGAAGUCCACCAGAGUGAGUCAGCGUGGACCGCUCCACAGCCGGGUAAAGCACGAUCCAUCAGAGAAGCACAGGAGACUUGACACGAGGUGGUGUUGGAAGGCACGAUGCCCAUCACUGUGUCUGCGGCUUGGGCCAGAGAUAGAGGGAAGAGGGGGUGAGAGUCCCUCCAAGGAAUGCUGCUCACCCAGCAUGGUGCCGAGUCAGCUCUAUGCAUUUGCAGGAGUGCAGCAGUACAGUGCUCUUCUGAGCCGGCAGACUCCAGGACUGUGGAAUGACAUGUCACAAUCUCAACUAGAUAAAGUCGUCUUCUACAAUUAACAUAACGUUUCUGGACUUGAGCUCGGAUGAGAGAUGCCACAGGGCAGUGAGCAAAAUGUCUUUGUUUUGGUACUGGUUGGGGGCAUAGAAGGAAAGUGACGCAGACUCCAAAGAGGCGUCUUGGGAACAGAAAUGGUGAUCAGGAGAAGUGGUGAUCUGGAGAAGUGAUGAUCUGGAGAAGUGGUGAUCUGGAGAAGUGGUGAUCUGGAGAAGAAGUGAUGAUCUGGAGAAGUGGCCAUCUGGAGAAGUGGCCAUCUGGAGAAGUGGCGAUCUGGAGAAGUGGCUUCUGAAGACAGUUGGCAGCAGUGGUGGUCUGGAGAACCUAGCUCAAGCAUUGCACACUUUGGCGGAGUCCCUGGCCUUCUCUCUCCUACCAGAGCAUAAUCCCAGGAGACAGCACCCUGGGGUUCCUGCUUUUCUUUAGAUAAAGAUAAAAGCACUCUCCCAUCUCCUGAUGGAAAUGAGUUUAAAUGACUCACACUAAUUGGUGGCAGAGCUGUAAUAAAAACCAAGUGUUCUCCCCA